CGCUUUGUCUUUAACUGAUCUGAAGAGCUUGCUCUGAUUUGAUUUUAUCUGACAAAGAGUGGCGAACGGGUGAGUAACACGUGGGUAACCUACCUCUUAGCAGGGGAUAACAUUUGGAAACAAGUGCUAAUACCGUAUAAUACCAACAACCGCAUGGUUGUUGGUUGAAAGAUGGUUCUGCUAUCACUAAGAGAUGGACCCGCGGUGCAUUAGCUAGUUGGUAAGGUAACGGCUUACCAAGGCAAUGAUGCAUAGCCGAGUUGAGAGACUGAUCGGCCACAAUGGGACUGAGACACGGCCCAUACUCCUACGGGAGGCAGCAGUAGGGAAUCUUCCACAAUGGGCGCAAGCCUGAUGGAGCAACGCCGCGUGUGUGAUGAAGGGUUUCGGCUCGUAAAACACUGUUAUAAGAGAAGAACGGCACUGAGAGUAACUGUUCAGUGUGUGACGGUAUCUUACCAGAAAGGAACGGCUAACUACGUG
rnacentral:rRNA from 1 species